rnacentral:rRNA from 1 species
AUUGAACGCUGGCGGCAUGCCUUACACAUGCAAGUCGAACGGCAGCACGGGAGCAAUCCUGGUGGCGAGUGGCGAACGGGUGAGUAAUAUAUCGGAACGUGCCCAGUCGUGGGGGAUAACGUAGCGAAAGCUACGCUAAUACCGCAUACGAUCUAUGGAUGAAAGCGGGGGAUCGCAAGACCUCGCGCGAUUGGAGCGGCCGAUAUCAGAUUAGGUAGUUGGUGAGGUAAAGGGCUCACCAAGCCGACGAUCUGUAGCUGGUCUGAGAGGACGACCAGCCACACUGGGACUGAGACACGGCCCAGACUCCUACGGGAGGCAGCAGUGGGGGAAUUUUUGGACAAUGGGCGCAAGCCUGAUCCAGCAAUGCCGCGUGCAGGAUGAAGGCCUCGGUU